UACAGAGACCCCAAGCGUUACCCGGAUUUAUUGGGCGUAAAGGGUGUGUAGGUGGUGUGGUAAGUUUUAAUUUAAAGCUCAUCGGCUUAACCUUUGAGAUGAUUAAAAUACUGCCACGCUCAGAGGGCGUUAGAGGCAGACGGAACCGACCAAGUAGGGGUGAAAUCCGUUGAUAUGGUCGGGAACACCAAAAGCGAAGGCAGUCUGCUGGGGCGACCCUGACACUGAAACACGAAAGCGUGGGG
rnacentral:rRNA from 1 species